AUAGAGUAUUGUAUCAUUGAUUGAACCGCGCGUUGAACGAAACCCGAUGGCACAGAAGCACCACCUUCUUCUGGAUCUAUCCCAAAUCCCACUCUCCAAACCCUAGAAAAUUGAACUCUUCCCCUUUCCUUUCUCUCACGAUUCCUAUCAAAGAUUCUUCCUUUUCACUCUUGCCCGGCGAUUUGAUUUCUGGGCUUUCUUCGUUUCCGCAAUUUCGAUCUUAAACCCGAGGCUGUGGAAUUCGGAAUUCAGAUUGAAGUUAGUGGGGUUGAAGUAGGAUAGUUGCGUUGGCGCUGGCAAUGCCAUUGGUGUGGUCAGUGAAGAAAUUUUCGGUGAUUUUUGUGAUACCGAAAAUACAGUAUGUCUUGGGCAGGCCCUGAGGAUAUUUACCUUUCCACUUCACUUGCCAGCUAUCUUGACAAGAAACUUCUUGUAUUGCUGAGAGAUGGUAGAAAGCUCAUGGGAACACUUCGCUCUUUUGAUCAAUUUGCCAAUGCAGUUCUUGAGGGUGCCUGUGAGAGGGUUAUUGUUGGCGAUCUGUACUGUGACAUCCCUUUGGGUCUCUAUGUGAUCCGCGGGGAAAAUGUUGUUCUAAUUGGUGAGCUGGACUUGGAGAAGGAGGAACUUCCUGAACACAUGACUCGUGUUUCUACAGCAGAAAUCAAGAGGAAACGCAAAUGUCUCACAAUGAUGUUGUGGAGUCUGUCACCAAGGCAAUCACGUUGCCUUAUGUGAUGCAGGUUUGACCUGCAUCCUAGUCAAGGGUGUUCUCAUGAGUUGCAAACACUGAAUCCAGCUAGUGGUUGAGGGGAUAUAGGGCAGUGUGUGGCCUUAUUCGGGUUCAAGAACAAAGAAACGAUAAGGAAAGAAACGGGUCAGGUGUGGGCUUAUUCAGGGCACAGAAAGCAGAAAGGGAGGCCUCCGAUCUGAAAGGGACUAUGAGGAAAAGAAUGGAAUUCCUUGACUUUGAAUAGUGAACCCUGAUUCAUCCUUCACCUUCCCCAUCCGCAAAUAUUAUAGCGGCUGUUCUUCAUAUAUUUUGCUUUCUUUUUCUCUGCUAUUGUUGCCUUUCAUGGGAGGGUUCAAUACUCUUGAAUUUUGUUCUGUAAUAUUAGCUUCAGGAAUCAUUACUAUCAUUCAUUUGCUUUCAAAAAAUUCUCAAUUAAUACGGCUCCUCUAAUGAGAGGAUGCAUAUUAAAA